GAUGAACGCUGGCGGCGUGCCUAAUACAUGCAAGUCGAGCGAACAGACGAGGAGCUUGCUCCUCUGACGUUAGCGGCGGACGGGUGAGUAACACGUGGAUAACCUACCUAUAAGACUGGGAUAACUUCGGGAAACCGGAGCUAAUACCGGAUAAUAUAUUGAACCGCAUGGUUCAAUAGUGAAAGACGGUUUUGCUGUCACUUAUAGAUGGAUCCGCGCCGCAUUAGCUAGUUGGUAAGGUAACGGCUUACCAAGGCAACGAUGCGUAGCCGACCUGAGAGGGUGUUCGGCCACACUGGAACUGAGACACGGUCCAGACUCCUACGGGAGGCAGCAGUAGGGAAUCUUCCGCGAUGGGCGAAAGCUUGACGGAGCAACGCCGCGUGAGUGAUGAAGGUCUUCGGAUCGUAAAACUCUGUUAUUAGGGAAGAACAAAUGUGUAAGUAACUAUGCACGUCUUGACGGUACCUAAUCAGAAAGCCACGGCUAACUACGUG
rnacentral:rRNA from 1 species